GAUGAACGCUGGCGGCGUGCCUAAUACAUGCAAGUCGAGCGAACGGACGAGAAGCUUGCUUCUCUGAUGUUAGCGGCGGACGGGUGAGUAACACGUGGAUAACCUACCUAUAAGACUGGGAUAACUUCGGGAAACCGGCGCUAAUACCGGAUAAUAUUUUGAACCGCAUGGUUCAAAAGUGAAAGACGGUCUUGCUGUCACUUAUAGAUGGAUCCGGGCUGCAUUAGCUAGUUGGUAAGGUAACGGCUUACCAAGGCAACGAUGCAUAGCCGACCUGAGAGGGGGAUCGCCCACACGGGAAGUGAGACACGGUCCAGACGCCUACGGGAGGCAGCAGUAGGGAAUCUUCCGCAGUGGGCGAGAGCCUGACGGAGCAACGCCGCGUGAGUGAUGAAGGUCUUCGGAUCGUAAAACUCUGUUAUUAGGGAAGAACAUAUGUGUAAGUAACUGUGCACAUCUUGACGGUACCUAAUCAGAAAGCCACGGCUAACUACGUG
rnacentral:rRNA from 1 species